UAGGGAAUCUUCGGCAAUGGGGGCAACCCUGACCGAGCAACGCCGCGUGAGUGAAGAAGGUUUUCGGAUCGUAAAGCUCUGUUGUAAGAGAAGAACGUGUGUGAGAGUGGAAAGUUCACACAGUGACGGUAACUUACCAGAAAGGGACGGCUAACUACGUGCCAGCAGCCGCGGUAAUACGUAGGUCCCGAGCGUUGUCCGGAUUUAUUGGGCGUAAAGCGAGCGCAGGCGGUUUAAUAAGUCUGAAGUUAAAGGCAGUGGCUUAACCAUUGUUCGCUUUGGAAACUGUUAAACUUGAGUGCAGAAGGGGAGAGUGGAAUUCCAUGUGUAGCGGUGAAAUGCGUAGAUAUAUGGAGGAACACCGGUGGCGAAAGCGGCUCUGUGGUCUGUAACUGACGCUGAGGCUCGAAAGCGUGGGGAGCAAACAGG
rnacentral:rRNA from 1 species